rnacentral:rRNA from 1 species
AUUUGAAAUCUGGUACCUUCGGUGCCCGAGUUGUAAUUUGGAGAGGGCAACUUUGGGGCCGUUCCUUGUCUAUGUUCCUUGGAACAGGACGUCAUAGAGGGUGAGAAUCCCGUGUGGCGAGGAGUGCGGUUCUUUGUAAAGUGCCUUCGAAGAGUCGAGUUGUUUGGGAAUGCAGCUCUAAGUGGGUGGUAAAUUCCAUCUAAAGCUAAAUAUUGGCGAGAGACCGAUAGCGAACAAGUACAGUGAUGGAAAGAUGAAAAGAACUUUGAAAAGAGAGUGAAAAAGUACGUGAAAUUGUUGAAAGGGAAGGGCAUUUGAUCAGACAUGGUGUUUUGUGCCCUCUGCUCCUUGUGGGUAGGGGAAUCUCGCAUUUCACUGGGCCAGCAUCAGUUUUGGUGGCAGGAUAAAUCCAUAGGAAUGUAGCUUGCCUCGGUAAGUAUUAUAGCCUGUGGGAAUACUGCCAGCUGGGACUGAGGACUGCGACGUAAGUCAAGGAUGCUGGCAUAAUGGUUAUAUGCCGCCCGUCUUGAACCACGGGACC